rnacentral:lncRNA from 1 species
AUAAUGCUGUUUAGCCCAGGCUGGGAAAAUGAGUUGAUCCUGGAGGAGGGACAGUGUUGUCACUGCUCCACCUGCAACACCUGCCCUUCCAGUACAGUAUCAACUAUAAGAUCACAAAUUGGAAGUAUCCAAAGCUGAAAGAAGUGGAUAAUGUGCUUGGGGGAGCAGCUGCCUGGGAGAGCAACUGCCUAGGAGAAUGUCCACUGUCCUGCCCAGCCAUGUCCCCAGUGCGAACACCCUCCUGUUCACUUCAUGCAGCACAAGACUCACCCUGCAGAUGAGCCAAUGACUGCCUUCUACAAGGGCAGCAGUGCUCAGUGUGGACACUGCUGGGGGAAUUAG